rnacentral:rRNA from 1 species
GCCAGCAGCCAUAUCACCCUGCAACUCACAACUGGCAACCCACUAAAGCUCAACAGGUGUGAGCCUGGUCAGUACCUGGAUGGGAGACCACCGGGGAAAAACUAAGGCUGCUGCUGGAA